rnacentral:rRNA from 1 species
AUUGAACGCUGGCGGCAUGCCUUACACAUGCAAGUCGAACGGUAACAGGUCUUCGGAUGCUGACGAGUGGCGAACGGGUGAGUAAUACAUCGGAACGUGCCUAGUAGUGGGGGAUAACUACUCGAAAGAGUGGCUAAUACCGCAUGAGAUCUAAGGAUGAAAGCAGGGGAUCGCAAGACCUUGAGCUCCCAGCGUGGCAGAUGGCAGAUUCGGUAGUUGGUGGGAUAAAAGCUUACCAAGCCGACGAUCUGUAGCUGGUCUGAGAGGACGAUCAGCCACACUGGGACUGAGACACGGCCCAGACUCCUACGGGAGGCAGCAGUGGGGAAUUUUGGACAAUGGGCGAAAGCCUGAUCCAGCAAUGCCGCGUGCAGGAUGAAGGCCUUCGGGUUGUAAACUGCUUUUGUACGGAACGAAAAGCCCCGGGUUAAUACCCUGGGGUCAUGACGGUACCGUAAGAAUAAGCACCGGCUAACUACGUGCCAGCAGCCGCGGUAA